AUGUGGAAGAUCCCGUAUGCGAAUGAGGUCCCGCCAGACCUCGAGAUUCUUAUUCGCCACCUUGAAGCAGUAGUGGCUCGUCUGGGUGGAAAAGGUGGUCUUCGCACUUCCCACACAUUAACACCCACGCCGGCGCAAGUUUCAUCUCUGCUAGACAAACAAGAUGCAACUCAUGCGGGGAUCACUCAAGGACUACGCCGCCUCGAGAAGGAAGGGCCGCGCCUAGAGGGACGCCUUGCCAACCUCGCCUCCAUCUGGAACAGAAAAAAGAAGUUGGCCAAAGAACAUCGGAUGCUUGCCGUCAAACAUCAAGAGCUUGCCGAGGAGUACAAGGCCCUCUGCGAGAAGGAAACCGGGAUGGCGGCACUGGUUGAAAAGCGCACAGGCAUCCUAGCUGACUUGAUGACUUCUAGCUCCUGCCAUCUUGAAGCUCAUGAGGAUGCAGUUCGGAGUUCGUCAAAGGUGGUCAAGUCAUACAUAAUAUGUCGUGCGGACGCGGCUACCUUCCUGGCCACCGGUGGAACGCUUCCGGAGAUCAUGAUGAUCCUAGCAUACGAAGCUCCUGAGUGA
rnacentral:rRNA from 1 species